UACGUAGGUGGCAAGCGUUGUCCGGAUUUACUGGGCGUAAAGGAUGCGUAGGCGGACAUUUAAGUCAGAUGUGAAAUACCCGAGCUUAACUUGGGUGCUGCAUUUGAAACUGGGUGUCUAGAGUGCAGGAGAGGUAAGUGGAAUUCCUAGUGUAGCGGUGAAAUGCGUAGAGAUUAGGAAGAACACCGGUGGCGAAGGCGGCCCCCUGGACCGGUACUGACGCUGAGGCGCGAAAGCGUGGGGAGCAAACGGG
rnacentral:rRNA from 1 species